CAGUCGCCACGGGAAUACGAAGGGUGCAAGCGUUAAUCGGAAUUAUUGGGCGUAAAGAGCUCGUAGGCGGUUUGUCGCGUCUGCUGUGAAAACUGGAGGCUCAACCUCCAGCCUGCAGUGGGUACGGGCAGACUAGAGUGCGGUAGGGGAGAUUGGAAUUCCUGGUGUAGCGGUGGAAUGCGCAGAUAUCAGGAGGAACACCGAUGGCGAAGGCAAUCCCCUGGGCCUGUACUGACGCUCAUGCACGAAAGCGUGGGGAGCAAACAGGAUUAGAUACCCCAGUAGUCCCUGUCUCUUAUAC
rnacentral:rRNA from 1 species